AACGAACGCUGGCGGCAGGCUUAACACAUGCAAGUCGAGCGCCCCGCAAGGGGAGCGGCAGACGGGUGAGUAACGCGUGGGAAUCUACCCAUCUCUACGGAAUAACGCAUGGAAACGUGUGCUAAUACCGUAUACGUCCUUCGGGAGAAAGGUUUAUCGGAGAUGGAUGAGCCCGCGUUGGAUUAGCUAGUUGGUGGGGUAAAGGCCUACCAAGGCGACGAUCCAUAGCUGGUCUGAGAGGAUGAUCAGCCACACUGGGACUGAGACACGGCCCCGCCUCCUACGGGAGGCAGCAGUGGGGAAUAUUGGACAAUGGGCGCAAGCCUGAUCCAGCCAUGCCGCGUGAGUGAUGAAGGCCCUAGGGUUGUAAAGCUCUUUCACCGGUGAAGAUAAUGACGGUACCCGGAGAAGAAGCCCCGGCUAACUUCGUGCCAGCCGCCGCAGUAACAC
rnacentral:rRNA from 1 species